GUCGAACGAAGUAGCAAUACUUAGUGGCAGACGGGUGAGUAACAUGUAGGUAUCUGCCCUUUGGCCUGGAAUAACACGAGGAAACUUGUGCUAAUACCGGAUAAGUCUUUACGGAGAAAGCUUUAUGCACCAUUGGAUGAGCCUGCACUUGAUUAGUUUGUUGGUGGGGUAAUGGCCUACCAAGACUGUGAUCAAUAGCUGAUUUGAGAGGAUGAUCAGCCACAUUGGGACUGAGACACGGCCCAAACUCCUACGGGAGGCAGCAGUGGGGAAUCUUGCACAAUGGAGGAAACUCUGAUGCAGCGAUGCCGCGUGAGUGAAGAAGGCCUUUGGGUUGUAAAGCUCUUUCGUCGGGGAAGAAAAUGACUGUACCCGAAUAAGAAGGUCCGGCUAACUUCGUGCCAGCAGCCGCGGUAAUACGAAGGGACCUAGCGUAGUUCGGAAUUACUGGGCUUAAAGAGUUCGUAGGUGGUCGAAAAAGUUAGUGGUGAAAUCCCAGAGCUUAACUCUGGAACUGCCAUUAAAACUUUUCAGCUAGAGUAUGAUAGAGGAAAGCAGAAUUUCUAGUGUAGAGGUGAAAUUCGUAGAUAUUAGAAAGAAUACCAAUUGCGAAGGCAGCUUUCUGGAUCAUUACUGACACUGAGGAACGAAAGCAUGGGUAGCGAAGAGGAUUAGGUACCCUCGUAGUCCAUGCCGUANACGAUGUGUGUUAGACGUUGGAAAUUUAUUUUCAGUGUCGCAGCGAAAGCGAUAAACACACCGCCUGGGGAGUACGACCGCAAGGUUAAAACUCAAAUGAAUUGACGGGGACCCGCACAAGUAGUGGAGCAUGU
rnacentral:rRNA from 1 species